GGCUGGGCCUAAUAUAGUGUAUAAGAGGUCAGGCUGGGCCUAAUAUAGUGUAUAAGAGGACAGGCUGGGCCUAAUAUAGUGUAUAAGAGGACAGGCUGGGCCUAAUAUAGUGUAUAAGAGGUCAGGCUGGGCCUAAUAUAGUGUAUAAGAGGACAGGCUGGGCCUAAUAUAGUGUAUAAGAGGACAGGCUGGGCCUAAUAUAGUGUAUAAGAGGUCAGGCUGGGCCUAAUAUAGUGUAUAAGAGGACAGGCUGGGCCUAAUAUAGUGUAUAAGAGGACAGGCUGGGCCUAAUAUAGUGUAUAAGAGGACAGGCUGGGCCUAAUAUAGUGUAUAAGAGGACAGGCUGGGCCUAAUAUAGUGUAUAAGAGGACAGGCUGGGCCUAAUAUAGUGUAUAAGAGGACAGGCUGGGCCUAAU